CACACCGCGGAAUCAUUUUACAGUCCCCGUCAGGACCUUUUUUGAAUUCACGCUUUCAUGUCUUUAAGGGACAGAUGGGAGGCAUGAAGUGACGUUGGAUGGAUUCUGAGGGAGCACUCAAACACGGCCGGUCGUAUUAUCACGGCACCCACACAACCACUCCUCUCAGGGACUGGCGGAGAUGCGGCUGAGGGGACAGGACUGCAGAGUUUGGAGGGACUGGAGGAGAUGCGGAUGAGGGGACAGGUCUGCGGAGCUAGCACUGAGCGCUGGGACGGAGAGGCUUCGUGGUGUCUUGGCUGGGUGAGCAGGUGUCGGACACCUCAGUCACCUUGGACGUAUCCUCGCUCAUCCAUGCGGACUGGACACUGGCCGAGAGUGGAGUCUGCUGUCUCGGUUGCUUUGUUGGGUCUGCUCCUGUCUUUGGCCAUGCUCCCUCCACCCCAGCGGACGAUGGCGUGGAACACCGCAGAGGCCACCACAGUGCAUAUGUUUAUUUUACUUUUUAUUCAUAGCUGUAUGUAGAAGUGUCUGCUUGUAUAUGCUGCUUUAAUGUCUUUAAUGUCCUCUGUGUUCUUUGAUGUUUGAUGUUUCCCUCUUACACACAUGGAAGAGGGAUGUGUACCAUGGCUAUGAGUUGUUGUUUUUUUCCCUUGGCCUCAGUCUGCACCCCCUCUCCAGGGCCCAGCCUAAGACCGAUUUUUAUUUUAUUUUAUUUUAAUCUUCUAUUUUUU